rnacentral:rRNA from 1 species
CAGUAGCCACGGUAAUACGUAGGUCCCGAGCGUUGUCCGGAUUUAUUGGGCGUAAAGCGAGCGCAGGCGGUUAGAUAAGUCUGAAGUUAAAGGCUGUGGCUUAACCAUAGUACGCUUUGGAAACUGUUUAACUUGAGUGCAAGAGGGGAGAGUGGAAUUCCAUGUGUAGCGGUGGAAUGCGUAGAUAUAUGGAGGAACACCGGUGGCGAAAGCGGCUCUCUGGCCUGUAACUGACGCUGAGGCUCGAAAGCGUGGGGAGCAAACAGGAUUAGAUACCCGCGUAGUCCCUGUCUCUUAUACA